ACUUUCUUAGUAUAACUAGUACAGAAAACUUCCAAUUUUCUAAUCUUGGUUUAACCCCAAGAGAAAGUA
rnacentral:tRNA from 10 species